UUGUCGGGUAAGUUCCGACCUGCACGAAUGGUGUAACCAUGGCCACGCUGUCUCCACCCGAGACUCAGUGAAAUUGAAAUCGCAGUGAAGAUGCUGUGUACCCGCACCUAGACGGAAAGACCCCGUGAACCUUUACUACAGCUUGGCACUGAACAUUGAACCUACAUGUGUAGGAUAGGUGGGAGGCUUUGAAGCACAGUCGCUAGAUUGUGUGGAGCCGUCCUUGAAAUACCACCCUUGUAUGUUUGAUGUUCUAACAUUGGUCCCUAAUCGGGAUUGUGGACAGUGUCUGGUGGGUAGUUUGACUGGGGCGGUCUCCUCCCAAAUAGUAACGGAGGAGCACGAAGGUUAGCUAAUCACGGUCGGACAUCGUGAGGUUAGUGCAAUGGCAUAAGCUAGCUUAACUGCGAGACAGACACGUCGAGCAGGUACGAAAGUAGGUCAUAGUGAUCCGGUGGUUCUGUAUGGAAGGGCCAUCGCUCAACGGAUAAAAGGUACUCCGGGGAUAACAGGCUGAUCUCCCCCAAGAGCUCACAUCG
rnacentral:rRNA from 1 species